CAUUUCCUAUAGCAUAUCUCUUUAAAAAUAAGGUCAACAUUUCCUGUAGCAUAUCUCUUUAAAAAAAAGGUCAACAUUUCCUGUAGCAUAUCUCUUUAGAACAUUAAUAUUACCAAAGGUAGUAAAUCUAUUGGAUUCAUUAAGCUUAUAGAAACCAUCGACCUUCUUAUUGCAUUCAAGCCAAAUAACUCUGGCCAAGAUACAAGAUAUAUAAGAUACAAGAUAUAUAAGAUGUAUGUGAUAUUGUAAGCCUACACCAAAUCAAGGUAAAGUCAAAUCUACUGUCAUAUUCUGUCAGUAGAACACAAAAAGAACAAUGUUGGUUUGUUAUGAUAUUGCAAGUUGUACAUUCCAUUUUAGAGUAGAAACUUGAAAGUAACUUUCAAAUGUUGGAUUCAUAACAGUAGGACUAUUUGCAAUUGAAGAGGUAGUGUAGUAGUGAUAGUAUGACUACUGUAGAAGUAGCAGUAGCAGUUGUUAUUGUAGUAGUAGUAGUAGUAGUUAUUGUAGUAUUAUUAGUAGCAUGUAUAACAGUGCUAGUGCUAGUAGUAGCUACUCUGCUAUGGGGAGCAGGAGUAACUGUAGCAACAGUGGUUGUAGCAGCGUUAAUAGGUGACGGUAUCAUGGAAUCAACUGUCAAAGCAAUACUGAUGCCCCUGCUCCACACACACCACUGCAUGAAGGCCGCUCAUACACCCAAAGCAGCUGCACCUAUGUCAAUUAAUCACAUGACCCCCAACAUGAGAACAGUGUUAAAGAGAGGACAUUUGUGUUUUGUUUUGUAAGAUGGCAGACGCACGUCCUACUCCGACCCAUACGGACGGUGUCCCUAGAGGUCCAAAAUGCUCCAAGCCAAAUCCUUAACUCCAACUUUCUAUGGUCCUUUUAUUGUGUACUUUUUAAACUGUUUGUAAAGGAAGAAAAAAAACUCAUAGGAAACUAAUUUGUCUGUUGUAAGGCCAGUGAAGCAGAUGAAUGAGUACAAUGUACAUUGUUGAAGAAGUACAUCUGGCGAAAUAUUAUGUGUUUGUUACAUACAGUAGAAUAAAAGACACAGCGGUGGGCCACAUGCAUCAUAUUACUGUAUGUACCUCUGUACAUGUAGGGUUUCCUAAUGGAGACUACUUCUGUAAUAAAAGCAUGCUCAUUUAAGAAUAUCUAUUGGAAUGUCUUUUUAAUCCAGGACGACACUGAUUCUGGGUCUGGGAAUCUGGACAAUAGUAUUGGAUUUCUGGUUUCUGUAUUGUGAAGCUUUCUAUGUACAGUUUGUCACCUGGCUGUUUUAUUUUGAAGUCCUUUGGCAUUCAUUACUGUAUGUAAUUGUAAGCAUUUUGGCUGUGUGCCAAAAGGAUGUGAAUGUGUACUGUUGGUUUUUGGAACUUAUUAAAUAUAAUGAUGUCAAAUUAAAGAGUGGAUUUGCUUGUUUUAGGGCUAAUUUUUGUUCAGUGAUAAUACAAAUGUAUGCAAAAGAGACCCAGGUCUCUGCUAAAAUAAAGGUCAAAAAGCUCUCUAUGAAACACUGUUUACAUUGCCAGAUUGGGUUAUAUCCUUCCUGUUUGGCCCUGUCCGGGGGUGUCCUCGGAGUGGGCCACAGUGUCUCCUGACCCCUCCUGUCUCAGCCUCUAGUAUUUAUGCUGCAGUAGUUUAUGUGUCGGGGGGCUAGGGUCAGUUUGUUAUAUCUGGAGUACUUCUCCUGUCCUAUUUGGUGUCCUGUGUGAAUCUAAGUGUGCGUUCUCUAAUUCUCUCCUUCUCUCUUUCUCUCUCUCGGAGGACCUGAGCCCUAGGACCAUGCCCCAGGACUACCUGACAUGAUGACUCCUUGCUGUCCCCAGUCCACCUGGCUGUGCUGCUGCUCCAGUUUCAACUGUUCUGCCUUAUUAUUAUUCGACCAUGCUGGUCAUUUAUGAACAUUUGAACAUCUUGGCCAUGUUCUGUUAUAAUCUCCACCCGGCACAGCCAGAAGAGGACUGGCCAUCCCACAUAUGCUCUCUCUAAUUCUCUCCUUCUCUCUUUCUCUCUCUCGGAGGACCUGAGCCCUAGGACCAUGCCCCAGGACUACCUGACAUGAUGACUCCUUGCUGUCCCCAGUCCACCUGGCUGUGCUGCUGCUCCAGUUUCNNNNNNNNNNCACCCAUUAAUCUGGGACAGUCUGACAGUACUCAACCAUCCAAUAAACUGGGACAUUCUGACAGUACUCAACCACCCAUUCAUCUGGCACUGUCUGACAGUACUCAACCACCCAUUCAUCUGGCACUGUCUGACAGCACUCAACCACCCAUUCAUCUGAGACAGUCUGACAGUACUCAACCACCCAUUCAUCUGGGACUGUCUGACAGUACUCAACCACCCAUUAAUCUGGGACAGUUUUA
rnacentral:lncRNA from 13 species